ensembl:Mt_tRNA
UAGAAUAUGGUGUAAAGGAAGCACGGGGAAUUUUGAGUUCUUUAAUGUGGGUUCGAUUCCUGCUGUUCUAGA